UGAUCACAAUGUCAUAUCUAUGACAUUUCCUUUGUUUGUACCCCUUAAUACAGAUGCACAGUAUUCCUGCGCUGGCCUGUUUCUCCUUUGAGCAAUUUUCUGGUUCUUCACUUAGUAAAUAUUCUUCCUAUUUUGUAGCCUUAUUGGCCUUCACUGGUGGCCUACUGCUAGGUGGCUUCAUCGUCUCAAAAUUAGCUAAGAAAUAGCUAAGAGGAAGAAAAUGAAGAUGUUGCAACAGAAGUGUCCAUAAUGUUGCACUUGAGCAAAACCUUGUAUAUUACAUCUGGAUUUUGAAAUAUGCCCCAAUUUUUAUUGUAAUAUGCCUUUAUUUUAUAUGUAUUUAUACUGUUUUGUAGAAAACAUAUUGAAUAUGGUCAUAUUGAUUUAAAGAAGGGUACAUGUUUAUUCAGGAUCAGGACAGAUUGUUGGGAUAAAACUGAGCCUAAGCUUUUUACUGAUAAUUGACACAUGAACAAUAGUGGUUUGUAUAAUCUGGCUUGUCCUCUCUUUUGUUCAUUUAAAUAUUUUGCAUUGAAUGUGGUUAAAGUCCAGAUAAUUUGUAUGUAAAAACGUUUAUAUAUAUAACGUGCAUUUUUAUGCCUGAUGGUUCUGUAAUAAAAUAUGAAAUAGUUAAAUAUAGGCAUUUGUACAGAGAGGGUUUCUUUUUUCUUUUUCUUUUUUUUUCUGAGCUAUAUUAAAGGUUGAGGAUGCCUGCUAAAUAUAGGUUUGUUUUGGGUGGAGAAAUGCACGGGAAUUAAGCAAACCGCUCGUUUGUUUCGCUUUUGUUAUCAUUUAGCCUAGUGCGAAGCUAGCAGCGAAGAUGCGGAACUGACAACAUUUUUAUUAUAUCUGAUUGGGACAUCAAACCAGUUAGGUCUGCGAUAUGUUUGUACUAUGGCACUGACGUAAAAGCAGAGGCCACACAUAGAUACAGUUUCACUGUGGUUUGUGAAGUGGCCAUCAAAUCAGUAGGACCAAGGAGGAAGAAGGGGAAAAAAGCGCUCAUGGAAUCAGAUUACCAGUUUUCAGAGAAACUUGUACUUCGGUCAGUGAUGGACCAGGUACAGAGAGCAGGAGCAUGUGCACCGUCUCUUCCUGAACCGCAGACACUGAGUGCUGAGCGGGAGCAGCUCCUGGACCAGGUGGCCAACGUGAUCAGAGUCAUCGGCGACUCUCGAUCGAGAGCCGAGAUUCAACGACAUGGUUGAUGGGUUUGCACGUGUGGCGGAUAGACAGUUUCCAGAUGCUUGUAGACAAAGUGUUUGUUGAUGAUACCACCUGGGGGAAAAUUGUUACUCUGAUCUGUGUUAUUGGGAAAUCCAUUGCAAAGAUUCUUGCUGAUUUUGUCUCAGGCGUUGUGUCUUGGACACUGGAUUACUUCAGGGAUAACCUACAGAACUGGAUCUGCAGUAGGGGAGGAUGGAUCAACAGUAUCUCUUCCUUGGCUCGUUACUCCUUUGAGCAAGAUUUUGGUUCCUCGUCCAGCCUGAACUCCCUCUCCUGUGGAGUCUUCUUCAUCAGUGGAGUACUGCUGGGUGGCCUCAUCGUCUGGAGACUAAACAGAUGUUCCUGAGGACGGUGAUGACGGUGAUGACUGAUGAAGUGCGAAAAGGAGAAAUGCUGGGAAUUACACAUGCAACGGACCAAAAAUAAAGAUGUUUUGGACGAGUAAGAGAAGACUGCUUGCCAAUAUUAUGCAUAGUAAGAAAGUAUAAAACAUUAUAAUGUAUAAUGUAUAAUGAAUGGCAUGUCUCAGUCCAUGUGAGUGUGGAGGGAUAAAAUGCAUACAAAAUGGGGAGUAAAGCAAUAACUAGCAGGACUUGAAAUGUCAUAGGUGCUGGGCCAAAACUAUUUACUGUAAUUGUUAGUAACCUCUACCUCGUCUUUAAAUUUUUUUGUAUACAUUUAUAAAUAACCUUGUAACUAUAGACUGAAUGACAAUGCACUAUUUUGUAUUGUUACAUUUGAAAUGUAAUUGUUUCAGCUUUUCCAAUAAUGUAGAUUAUGAAAGACCAAUGCAAAAGGCCUACAUUAAAUACAGUCCUUCCCACAAA